AAAAGAAAAGAACAAUCACGUGAAGGAAGGAAGGAACGGGUUGUUGUUUUGUUUUGUUUUGUUUUGUUUUGGUCCUUUUCUCGUCUUUUCUCUUU
rnacentral:ribozyme from 1 species